CCCUCGUUGGCCUAUACUUUUGCGUGUCAACACAAGCUAUCUCUGUCUUUUCGUUCGUCAAGCAUGUUCUUGUCUCGCUCUUUUCACACUUUGCCGAAGUUCGACGUGCUCCGCGUUGUGUAUUUACACACCGAGCUCAUGGAAUAUCUUUGUGUGUGUAGAAAACCAUUUUGACAGUACCGUCAUUCUUCGGCCAUCAAAUUUUGUUUUGCUUUCGAAGUGCAAGGUUUGGUUAGUUUAUUGCAUAGAACAGGGAGAUAAAAUGGCUAUAAAAGGGUAAACAUGGGUUCGAAUCAAAAGAGCACGCGUUUUUCAAGUGACUGGAUAGUUUAGUUAGGGAUAUGGAGUGAAAAAAACACUUGGAAAUAAGGAGGAUACUUGACCAGCGUGCCUCCGGAACAAAGUGGUGCUGAAACUGUUUCAUGGCUGCUGAGAGUCUGGUACAUCCGAAACAAUUUAUUGGCACGGACCGCAGAAAACCACGCUAACACAGUGUACGAAGUACCAUGCAGAGAGGACAACAUUUUACACCACGUAAACCAACACAUUUGCCCGCAUUUUCCAGCAAGUGAAGUGUAAGCGAGAAAUUUGUGAAUAAAAUUAUAAUAAUAAAAAAAAAAACAUUUCAUUUUAUGUCCUUUUUAAUUGAUGACAACUUUCCACUAUGCAUAGCCAAUAACGCACCCAUACCUACGCGGUACUACACACUAACACAUGCGCAAAAAAGUUCUUAACGAAGAAUUUGACCGCUGGGCAACCAUGGAUGUGUCAAACUGUUCAAAAUCAACACAAAAAACCGUUAACAACUCUCAUUGCGGUUAGCUUGAGAAAAGAUUGUGUAUUAAAUAUUUGAUUAAAACAUUAAAAUGAUUUUCUCCUGCUACGUAAGUGAUACAACGGACGAUCUGGCAUAACAAAUACGACUCCUUUGAAUUAUUUCUGAUCCUUUGCCACUUAUCACACGAGCGCGUGUUAAGUAUGCGAAAUAUUUGUGC